rnacentral:rRNA from 1 species
AAAUGAAUUGACGGGGGCCCGCACAAGCGGUGGAGCAUGUGGUUUAAUUCGAUGCAACGCGAAGAACCUUACCAUCCCUUGACAUCCAGAGAAGAGACUAGAGAUAGACUUGUGCCUUCGGGAACUCUGUGACAGGUGCUGCAUGGCUGUCGUCAGCUCGUGUUGUGAAAUGUUGGGUUAAGUCCCGCAACGAGCGCAACCCUUGCCAUUAGUUGCUACAUUCAGUUGAGCACUCUAAUGGGACUGCCGGUGACAAACCGGAGGAAGGUGGGGAUGACGUCAAGUCCUCAUGGCCCUUAUAGGUGGGGCUACACACGUCAUACAAUGGCAAGUACAGAGGGCAGCAAUACCGCGAGGUGGAGCGAAUCCCACAAAGCUUGUCGUAGUCCGGAUUGGAGUCUGCAACUCGCCUCCAUGAAGUCGGAAUCGCUAGUAAUCGUAGAUCAGAAUGCUACGGUGUAAACGUUCCCGGGCCUUGUACACACCGCCCGUCAC